UAGGGAAUCUUCCGCAAUGGACGAAAGUCUGACGGAGCAACGCCGCGUGAGUGAAGAAGGAUUUCGGUUCGUAAAACUCUGUUGUUAGGGAAGAAAAAAUGUAUAGUAACUAUAUACAAAAGAGACGGUACCUAACCAGAAAGCCACGGCUAACUACGUGCCAGCAGCCGCGGUAAUACGUAGGCGGCAAGCGUUGUUCGGAAUUAUUGGGCGUAAAGCGCGCGCAGGUGGUUUAGAAAGUCUGAUGUGAAAGCCCACGGCUCAACCGUGGAGGGUCAUUGGAAACUAAUAAACUUGAGUGCAGGAGAGAAAAGUGGAAUUCCUAGUGUAGCGGUGAAAUGCGUAGAGAUUAGGAGGAACACCGGUGGCGAAAGCGGCUUUUUGGCCUGCAACUGACACUGAGGCGCGAAAGCGGGGGGAGCAAACAGG
rnacentral:rRNA from 1 species